UACGUAGGUGACCAGCGUUGUCCGGAUUUACUGGGCGUAAAGAGCGCGCAGGCGGUCGUUCAAGUCGAGUGUGAAAGCCCCCGGCUCAACUGGGGAGGGUCACUCGAUACUGAUCGACUUGAAGGCAGGAGAGGGAAGCGGAGUUCCCGGUGUAGUGGUGAAAUGCGUAGAUAUCGAGAGGAACACCUGCGGCGAAGGCGGGUUGCUGGGCUGAUACUGACGCUGAUGCGCGAAAGCCAGGGGAGCGAACGGG
rnacentral:rRNA from 1 species